rnacentral:rRNA from 1 species
GUCCACGCCGUAAACGAUGGAUACUAGCUGUUCGGAGCAAUCUGAGUGGCUAAGCGAAAGUGAUAAGUAUCCCACCUGGGGAGUACGUUCGCAAGAAUGAAACUCAAAGGAAUUGACGGGGGCCCCGCACAAGCGGUGGAGCAUGUGGUUUAAUUCGAUGAUACGCGAGGAACCUUACCAAGGCUUAAAUGUAGUUUGACCGGUUUGGAAACAGACUUUUCGCAAGACAAAUUACAAGGUGCUGCAUGGUUGUCGU